rnacentral:tRNA from 1 species
GCGUUCAUAGCUCAGUUGGUUAGAGCACCACCUUGACAUGGUGGGGGUCGUUGGUUCGAGUCCAAUUGAGCGCACCA